GGAACGCCGCUUUCUCACGAGGACGUUGUGCUGCGUUCCGGCUGCGGCUGCACACCACAGCGCGCCGCUCCCCGUCGACCCCCCGCUCACCCCACCCGCGCAACACGGAGAGCGGAAACACACAAAGUAAAUGAGCGUCUCUUCGCCACUCGAUGGCGGCGGAGCCGGCGGCACCGUAGUGCGGAGCUCUGCUACUCACAGAGGCGCCAGCGCGCCGGCGAACACCACCGCCGCCACCGCAGAGCCGCACACCCCGUUGUUCACGGCUGCCGAGAAAGCAGAGUUCCAAGCAAUCGAGGCGGAGUGCAACACCUUCCAUGAGUACGAGCGGCAGUAUCAAGAGGUGCUCAUGACACUAGAGGGAGAUGACGUCCUCGACAAGUUCCGCGCGGAGUACGAGGGCCUCCACAGCUCCUUGCUGCGCAGUCAUGAGGGCGAGGGCCGGUUGCUGCGCAAGUGCAGAGACCUGCAGAGCGACAUCGAUGCCUGCGCGGAGAAGGCGGUUGCGGCCGCUGAGAUGACUCUGGGCGAUCGUGACACUAUCGCCAACCUCAAGAGUGAGACGGAGCGCACCUCCCACAGGUUGACGGAGGUGCGGGAGAAGGAGGCGCAGCUGAAGGAGACGAUCGCCACGCUCAAGCGCGAGAUCGCGGUGCAGCAGGCGAAGGCGCAGGAUCCGAUCGAGAUGCCAGAGCAGGAGGCGGCCUUGCAGAGUCUACGGCGCCUCCAUGAAACACUGCAGCGGGAGGAGGAGCAGCUGACGCAGCAGCUGCGUAGCACUUCUCUUGACAUGGCCGCCACGCAGCGGCGCAUCGCCGCACUCCUGAGCAGCAACUCCGGCAAUGCCGCUGAGCUCCGUCUGGUACGCGAGGCCAUCGCGCAGAGUGAGGAGGAGGUGCAGAGGGUGCUGCAGAGCAAGUCUAUGAAGGAGCAGGAGCUGCAGGCGGUGCGCGACACGAUCGCCCGCCGUAUCGCGUACUACACCGCUCAACAGCACACCCUCGAAGCGCUCGUCGAGGACCACGAGCGCAACGGGCAGGAGCUGCGCGACGUCAGGCAGGAAGAGGCGCGACUGACCGAAGAGUACCAGGGUGUCUGCCGCCAGCUGCAAAACGUCAACACGGCUCUGCAGGAGUGCAACGAGGAGAAUGAUCUGUGGCAGCGGCGCGUGUACGAGAGGGCGGCGGAGCUGCAUGCGCAGCAGGCCGAAGUCGCCUCCGUGCACAGGCGCUACGUCAAGGCGCAGAAGGUUGUCGAGGCUCUUCAGCGGCGCAACGCGGUUAUGGAGGUGCAGAAAUCGGAGCAGGUAGAGAAGCAGCUCGACGUGGCGGCGCAGCUGAAGAGCGAGGAGGCCGCUCUCGCCCUCGCGAAGCGGGCAGCCCGCACUGCCGCGCAGACGGCAGUGUCCGUCAGAGAGGAGGUCAACAUUCUGCAGCAGCAAAUCACCGGCGAAGCGGCCGAGCAGCAUCGCAACGCUGCGUGGCUCACGGAGAAGCGUGGACAACUACGCGCGCUCGAGAGCGUGCUGACGUCCUUCGAGGAGCACAUCCAGCAGACGCACCGGGAGUUGUACGUCGUGACGCAGGAGGCAGAGUUUAGCGAGGCGAGAGCGAAGAAGCAGGCCUUUGCGUGUGCGCACCUCCUCAGCAGCGUUGAGAACAAAGAAGCGGAGCUGGCCCAUUACGAGGGGAGCCUCACCGAGGUGGAGGCGCGCAUCAAGCAGCAGCAGGCGCUGCUCGAGUCGAUGGUGGCGGAGCGCAACACGUACAUCUCGCACUACAACCAACUGAAGCAAGGCCUCAGUGAGCAGCAGCAUCGGUUCUCACUACUGCUGGCGAAGGUGCAGUCGAUGCGCAGCUCCAUCCAGAAACGGGGGAAGGAUGUGAAGCUCGAAGUGGCACACAUCCAGCUCCUGCGGCAGCAGCGAAAGGAGCUUGAGGCGCACGUGACGGACUACCAGCGGCGGACCCACACGAGGCAGCGGUGCGCCGAUGCGCUGGGGCAGGAGAUACAGCAACUUCGCGCGGUUCUCAGCGACGCAGCGGACGAGACGGCCCGGCAGCAGCGCCGCUGCCAUGACGUUGUGCAUGAGAAGGACAGGCUCGACCGCCAAGUGACGAACCGCGCCAGGGAGCUGCACGCGCUGUACGAGCAGGCCCGCACGCAACAGUCUCUUCUUCAGCACCACGAGGGUCUCUACAACGACCAGGCACGGCAGCUGGAGCACCUCCAGUACCAGACGUUGCAGUUUGCCCAGCAGCUGGAGCAGAUGCGCAUGUUCGUCGCCCGCCUGCCAGAGUUGCGCGUACUGCUGAACAACGCAACGCGUGAGCUGCAGCGGGAGAGGGUGCGGGUGCAGGCGCUGCUGGAUGACGCGUACCACCCCGUUAACGUGCACCCGUACCACGAGGUGGCCUCAACUGAGCCGGAGACGUAUGCGCUGCUGCAGCGUGUGCAGGGGCUGCAGCGGGCCCUGGUCCAGCGCCGGAAUCAACUUGAGGAGAGAGAGGCGGCUAUCCGGUCGGUGGAGCAGCGCUACAUGAAGGCCAAGGCCACCGUCGCGCACCAGCCCGGGCCGGAGAUCGCGGAGCAGCUGACUGCCUAUCAGCAGAACCUCGUGAAGAAGGGCCAGCAUAUGCGGCAGAUGCAGGAGGCCCUCGAGUUCUUCAGGUCGCAGACGGACCAGUUCAAGGCUCGACAUGACGUACUGCGAGAUCGGCUAGCGGAAAUGGGCAGGACGUACGCGGCGGGCCGUGCAGCGGCGGCGGCGGCGGCGGCGAGACGCUCCAGCGCAGGCGCCACGCCCACCACGCCGCGCCCCGACGCACCAUCCGUGACGGCUGAGCCCGCCGUAUACCGCGGCUUCGUGGCGCCUCCGCGCGCCACGAUGAGCACCGCCACCACGUCAGCAUCGCUCCUCGCGCCACCCCCGAUGAGGGAGUAGACCUCCCCUCUCGGGGGGAUCCCCCCCACCCCGAGAACACGUGGCAGCGGCUGUCUCGGUGAAAGCGCUGAGUACGGCGGCCCUUCUCACGCAAAGGACGACCGUCCCCUUUCCUUUCACCUCAUCGUCAUUCUGCUGUUGACGCACUACAAAAGAUGUACACGUAUCCUUUUCUGUGUCCCUCUCCGUGGACGAUGCCCCUCCGCCCAUCAUCGCCAUCAUCGCCAGUUGCACCACAGGCGUGAGUGAGAAAUGGCGGCGAGCCGCGAUGCUCCGGCUCGCUGUACUCCUCAUGCGUGGUGUCGCUGCACACGGCUUCUCCAAGGCGGAAGGAGAGAGGUGGUGCGGUGGUGCACGGCACGCGCACCAUGCACAUUUCCGUUGCUCUUCUUUUUCCUCUACGCUCUGUGCCCCGGAUGACGAGUGGGGGGGCACACAUCUCCGUGCGCGGCAUCACGCGAUCCAG
rnacentral:misc_RNA from 1 species